CGAGAAUUUUUCUCAAUGGGGGAAACCCUGAAGGAGCGACGCCGCGUGGGGGAUGAAUGGCUUCGGCCCGUAAACCCCUGUCAUUUGCGAACAAAACUUACGUUUUAACAAAGCGUGAGCUGAUUGUAGCGAAAGAGGAAGGGACGGCUAACUCUGUGCCAGCAGCCGCGGUAAUACAGAGGUCCCAAGCGUUGUUCGGAUUCACUGGGCGUAAAGGGUGCGUAGGCGGUCAGGUAAGUUUGAUGUGAAAUCUCCGGGCUUAACCCGGAAAUGGCAUUGAAUACUAUUUGGCUAGAGAGUCGGAGGGGGGACUGGAAUACUUGGUGUAGCAGUGAAAUGCGUAGAUAUCAAGUGGAACACCAGUGGCGAAGGCGAGUCCCUGGACGAUUUCUGACGCUGAGGCACGAAAGCUAGGGGAGCAAA
rnacentral:rRNA from 1 species